rnacentral:lncRNA from 1 species
AUAACCCUAGCUUAUACCAUGGCUCCAAAUAUGUGGAAUGUUCUAUCAGAAUCUAAAAGCAUAGUAAAUUCUCAACCUCAUCACUACCUCACUCUCUCCCUCAUCUUCCUCCUACCUCUCUCUUUCUUAUCCCUCCUCUUCCAAUUCAUUUCCAAAAACUUUCAACAGCAACUCUCCACAAACCCCACCACAAUCAUCUCCUUGUAUCUCCUCUUCAUCAUUCUCUCUUGCAUCAUCGCCUUUGGCGCCGUCAUCACCAUCACCUACAGCGUCUUCCACGCUUGCUUUAACCGACCAGUCAAACUCAAAGAAGCCCUCAAAUCCAUCAUCACUUCCUUCUUCCCCCUCCUCGCCACCGCAACAGUUGCAUUCGUCGUCUUCUUCUUCAUAUUUUUUCUAUUUGGACUUCUCAUUGGACUUGUAUUGUUUCUCAUCACUUACCUAGGCCAUGUCGACCUCAAAACUAACCCUAACUUGGUUGCGUUAUGUUUCAUGGUACUUUUCAUGAUUGUUUUACUCCCUCUUGUGACGUAUUUGCUAGUUAACUUGAGCUUUAUGAAAAUUAUUGUGGUGGUGGAAUCAAGUUGGGGUUUUGAACCAUUGAGGAGAAGUUGGAAAUUGGUGAAAGGAAUGAAAAGGUUGGUUUUGUCAACCAUUUUAUUGUUUGGAUUCUUGGAAGUGAUAUUGCUGAAGAUAAGUUGUUACAGUUUGGUACUAGUUUUAGUGAUUUCUCCUAUACUUGCAAUUCUUAUGCUUUACAAUAUUGUGGUUAAUACGGUGCUGUACAUACACUGCAAGGAGAAGCAUGGUGAAGUUGCAGAUGUGGAAUUUGGGAACGAAAAAGAUGGGGCUAACUUGUCCUUAAUUCCAGUAUAGAAAUGGUUGAUAAAGUUCCUCGUCUAAGUUGUCUUUGCUUUUAGUUUUUUAUCUUGUACUAAUGUCUUUAACUUUGUGAUUAAUUUAAUGUUUGGUUUGUUCAAGUCUUCUCCUUUGUGAUUAAUUAAUUAUGUGGUUGUUCAAUUUUCUUUCUUUUUCAAACCAAGGUAUAUCCUUUGUAAUAACUGAGUUGUAUACAAAGAUCCUUUAAAAAAAUAAAAAUACAAAGAUAAAUUAUACAUUAGAAAUUGUGUGAAUUUUUUUUCUUCAAAAUUUUGAUAAUUAUUUGUUGCCAAUAAAUUAUUAAUAGAAUUUUUAACAUGUGAUUUAUACAUGAUACCGGUUAAAAUAUUGAACUUUUCCGACUCGGUAUUAUUUAAUACACUUGUUGUUAGAGAAUACAAUUAGACACUUAAAUAAAUAAUAGGUUAUUAUCCAUUAUCAUUGUUAUAUAUAGGGUGUGUUUGGUUUGCAAAACAAUAAUUAUUGGAUAGAACAGUACAACAUAAGGUAGAACAGCACAAGACAAAUUUUGUUGAAGCAUUAAGGUGAUGUUGGAAAAUAAAUUGGAAGAUUAAACAUAAUAGUAAUUAUACUUUGAUCUAAUGUGUGAAUUGAAAAAAUAGAGUGUGGAGGUCCCACGUAAAAUAGAACUCACACAUUAGUAGUGUUUAAAUUGUGAUAUUUAAUUUUAAAUACUUGAUAAUUAUAAAAAUAAUAGUAAUUAUUAUUUUUAUUCGAGAAUAUCACUUCCCAUAAAUUUAGCUUAUGGUGGUUGUGAUAAGAAUAAGAAUUUAAUUGAAUUUUUUAUAUUUUCUUCAUUCAAUCCAACAGUUUGUUUCCUCCACUUUUGUGGAUUUGUUUCAGUUGAUCCUAUCCACAAGUGUUGUUGAACUGAUUAAUGGAUAAACUUCAUUUUAAUCUUAUCGAUUAGAGUAACUGUUGUCGCAAUUUAUGCUAAAACAGUUACAGAAUCUCUAUAAAUAGAAGACUCCACUCAGUUCAAAAAACACACCAAAAAGUUUCAUUGAGUUGACGAGUCUUUCAUCUCUCCAUCUCCUUUUUUCUGUCCCUUCGAAAUUAAGAGUGUUCUUAAACCAUAGUCCCUUUUCGGUUUAAUGUCCCUUUGGAAUUAAGAAUGGUCUUAAAAACAUAGUCCCUUCGAUAAUAUAAGUCCCUUCGGAAUAAAGAGUACUAUUAAGAUCAUAGUCCCUUUUGGAAUAAUAAUGUCCCGUCGGAAUUAAAUCUUAACAGUAUAUAAAUAUUCUUCCAAUAUUUUAAUUGAGGAGAAAUUAAAAAAUGGAAAUGGUGGUAUCACCAUAUUUGAGUGGUCGUAGUGCCAUAUUGAUACUUUGGAGAAAUUAAAGUUAGAAUGGUGGUAACACCAUAUUUGAGUGGUCUCAGCACCAUAAUAGAGCGGUAACAAUACCAUAUCCGAAGGUGUAAAUCUCGAAUGGUUUUCUACACUGCAGUAGUUAACCGCACAAUUGUAACUGAGCUUGUUUUAUCCUGGAGGCGGCGUGGUUGAUAGUUGCCUUGCACAAUUUUGGACAGUGCCAUGAAAUGUCUUAAAAAGAGUGAUCUGGUCGUGACUCAACCUAGUAACAACUUCGGUUGAUAAUAGAAUUUGGAAAUCCAAAUACAACAGUUUGGAAAUCCAAAAACAACAAUUUUAAGACGUUUCGAUCUGACUAUAUUAAUUUCAAAUUUUCUAACUUCAUGAUUUUUAAUUUCUUUCUUCUGUAACUUUUCGUUUUUGGUUCUGGUCCCUGUAAUAUAGUCAGGGAUCUUCUAGAAGGCCACCUAAAUUUCAUAUUUAGGUGUUUUUAAUUUCGUCCCUCUGUACCUUUUCGUUUUUGGUUUUGGUCCCUGUAAUAUAGUCAGGGAUCAUCUGUCAGUCCACAUAAGCGUGUUUAGCCAAGUCAGCACGUGUCACAUUACUCAUGUUGUUAGCCAACAAGGCGUUUUUGUAACAGAGUUUGACAGGAGGGACGAAAAGCAAAAAGUUAUUAACUUACAGGGGUUAUUUUAGAACAAAAAAAGAUACAGGGACGAAAACCAAAAACACGCCAAAUUACACGGACGAUUUACAUAUUUAAGCCCUUUUUAAUUUAAUUAUUAUAGCAUAUGAUUUCAGCAGCCUCUUAAAAAAAAAAGCAUAUGAUUUCAGCAAAAAAAAAAAAAAUUAGUAUAUGAUUUUGCUCCCACUUAACAAUAUUUAUGGAUUCGUCCCUGGUUUGAUCCACUUGUUAAAUGGCAUGAACAUAAACCUCGAAUUGUGAAUUAGAUUAGGCACUAGAUUGACCAAACAAGGACAUAAAGAGGAUUCAGAAAAUUCUAAUCGUCAUCAUUUUGUUUUUGAUUAUCUUUUAUUUUCAAUUGCAAACCAAACCCUGAAAAUACCUUAAUUUAUAGUUUUUAUUAAGUAUUGUUGCUUAAAUUGUCGAGUAGAAAACAACGAUACAUUUUUUUUUGAAGGAAGAAAACAACGAUACAUAUGAAGACGAUUGACUUACUACUUUAUAAUUUAUACGAUUUGAUACACUUACCGAAUUUAUCAUCAUAUUGUGAGAUGCUGUAUAAUUGCAAAAACAUUAAAAUUUAUGUUGACCCUCUCAUUUCCCUCUAGUCUCCUUUUGCGUGUGAAAAUCCCUUUAAGAAACUUGGCAUAUCUUAGAAGCAACUUGAUCACUUCAAAGAGAGGAAUAUUUUUUUUUUUUUUUGAACAAUCAAAGAGAGGAAUAUUCAAUUCAACCUUUCUAAAUAUAUCAAAGAUUUCCCUAUCCAUAUACGAUAUAUGCAUGCAUGAUUCAUUUUCCCUUACAUAACUUCCAGACCCCACUACUUGAAAAAUGAGCAUACAAGCAAUCGCGACAGAUCAUAUCACAAAUGUGAAAACUACACCUGCUGCUCGUUAAGAACCUUAUCAAGCACGAGUUUACAACUACUCUAGUAAAAAACCGUAUAAAAAAACUUAAUAGUGAUGAAGCGAAAAAGAGUACAGGACAAUACAAUGAAAAAAACAUAAAAAAUAAGCCCAUAAAAAACGAGGGCAAAAACCAAAUUCUAACAAAAUUAAGCAAUACGCAAAAAGAACCAAUAGAAAGAGCUAAACAACAUAAAAUUACACUACUUGAAUAUCUAAAAAUAUUACCAAAAGUAGCAUGACCACGACUAUUUAUUUUUAUUUUUUUAAAACAAAGACCACAACUAUAUUUUUAUUUUAAUAAAAAAACCAGGACUAUUAUUACUUAGCUUACGUAGUUGAUAUAAAAUAAUGGUUUUCUUUCUUUCAAAAAUAAAAUAAAAUAAUGGAUUUGUCUAACGUAUUGCAAUGUUAAAACAACUAAAAUAGUAACUUUUAAUUGAAAAAUAAUCAUUUAUUAAAAAGUUAUUAUAUUCAUUAAUAUAAAAUCUAUAAGUUCUAAUAAAAAUUUAUUAUUUUAAAUUUUUUAACGCAUGUAAAUUUGCACAUAGAAAAUCCUAAUAUAAAAAGAGAGAGGGAGAGAGAAAGAAAGUGGGUUGUUAUGCAUGUGAUUUCGAUGAAAUUGCUUUCUUUUUUCUCAGAGGACGAUGCAAUAUUCUACUUCUACCUACAAUUUAAGUUGAUUAUUUCUAUUACUUUUCAAUACUUUUUUUUGACCAAAUCUUUAAUACUUGUCACCAGGGAUAUUAUAUCUUAUAAAAACCGAAGUAUACAUGGUGAAAAAGUUCACAAAAGCCUAGUCUCUCUUACACCAUGGCUCCAAAAAUGUGGGAUCUUCUCUCUGAAUCUAAACGCAUAAUAAAUUCUCAACCUCGUCACUACCUUAAUCUCUACCUCAUCUUCCUCCUUCCCCUCUCUUUCCUCUCCCAAAUCUUCAAACACCUUCAACAGCAACCACCCAGAAACCACAGCACAAUCACCUUUUUAUCUAUCAUCUUCUUACUUAUCUCUUCCAUCUUCAGUUAUGGCGCCGUCAUCACCAUCACCUACAGCGUCUUCCACGCCUUCUUUGAUCGACCGGUCAAACUAAAAGAAGCCAUCAAAUCCAUCACCACUUCUUUCUUCCCCCUCUUCGCCACCAGCAUCAUCACUUAUACUCUCUACUUUUUUGUUUCUUUUUUCUUGACGUUUCUCAUUGGAAUUGUAUUGUUUCUCAUCGUUUAUCUAGGCAAUAUCGACC